CGCUAUCACUCCUACGGGAGGCAGCAGUGGGGAAUAUUGCACAAUGGGGGAAACCCUGAUGCAGCCAUGCCGCGUGUGUGAAGAAGGCCUUCGGGUUGUAAAGCACUUUCAGUAGGGAGGAAGGUAGUGUAGUUAACACCUGCACUAUUUGACGUUACCUACAGAAGAAGCACCGGCUAACUCCGUGCCAGCAGCCGCGGUAAUACGGAGGGUGCGAGCGUUAAUCGGAAUUACUGGGCGUAAAGCGCAUGCAGGCGGCCUGUUAAGUCAGAUGUGAAAGCCCGGGGCUUAACCUCGGAAUUGCAUUUGAAACUGGCAGGCUAGAGUCUUGUAGAGGGGGUAGAAUUUCAGGUGUAGCGGUGAAAUGCGUAGAGAUCUGAAGGAAUACCAGUGGCGAAGGCGGCCCCCUGGACAAAGACUGACGCUCAGAUGCGAAAGCGUGGGGAGAAAACAGGAUUAGAUACCCUGGUAG
rnacentral:rRNA from 1 species